rnacentral:rRNA from 1 species
GACGAACGCUGGCGGCGUGCUUAACACAUGCAAGUCGAACGGAAAGGCCCUGCUUUUGUGGGGUGCUCGAGUGGCGAACGGGUGAGUAACACGUGAGUAACCUGCCCUUGACUUUGGGAUAACUUCAGGAAACUGGGGCUAAUACCGGAUAGGAGCUCCUGCUGCAUUGUGGGGGUUGGAAAGUUUCGGCGGUUGGGGAUGGACUCGCGGCUUAUCAGCUUGUUGGUGGGGUAGUGGCUUACCAAGGCUUUGACGGGUAGCCGGCCUGAGAGGGUGACCGGCCACAUGGGGACUGAGAUACGGCCCAGACGCCUACGGGAGGCAGCAGUGGGGAAUAUUGCACAAUGGGCGGAAGCCUGAUGCAGCAACGCCGCGUGCGGGAUGACGGCCUUCGGGUUGUAAACCGCUUUCGCCUGUGACGAAGCGUGAGUGACGGUAAUGGGUAAAGAAGCACCGGCUAACUACGUG